GAUGAACGCUGGCGGCGUGCCUAAUACAUGCAAGUCGAGCGAACGGACGAUAAUCUUGCUUCUCUGCUGUUAGCGGCGGACGGGUGAGUAACACGUGGCUAACCUACCUAUAAGACUGGGAUAACUUCGGGAAACCUGAUCUCAUACCGGAUAAUAUUUUGAACCGCAUGGUUCAAAAGUGAAAGACGGUCUUGCUGUCACUUAUAGAUGUAUCCGGGCUGCAUUAGCUAGUUGGUAAGGUAACGGCUUACCAAGGCAACGAUGCAUAGCCGACCUGAGAGGGUGAUCGGCCACACUGGAACUGAGACACGGUCCAGACUCCUACGGGAGGCAGCAGUAGGGAAUCUUCCGCAAUGGGCGAAAGCCUGACGGAGCAACGCCGCGUGAGUGAUGAAGGUCUUCGGAUCGUAAAACUCUGUUAUUAGGGAAGAACAUAUGUGUAAGUAACUGUGCACAUCUUGACGGUACCUAAUCAGAAAGCCACGGCUAACUACGUG
rnacentral:rRNA from 1 species